AAUAAUAAUAAUAAUAAUAACAAUGUACUUUUCUUUCUCUCUCAUUACUUAUUAACAACAACUACAUUUCUUAUCUUUCUUACGAGGGAUUUGUAAUGAGCUUGGAGUCUUAAGAGAAUAUUUUUAAAUUACCAGCUAUACGGUAUUCAUCUAUGAAUGGAAUUUUGAGUAGAAGAGCUACAUGUAAAAACUUGGCAGACUACGAUUGACGGACUUCAAGACAAUAAUUAGAAUAAAAUUAAUAGUUUAAUAACGUAUAGUACCACUCUCUCUCUCUCUCCAUCUUGUAGUUGAUGUUUCAGAAUUUAUUGAAGUCGUUGCCAUUAGUUUCAAGGAGCCACGCCCACAUGAAGCAGACGAGGGAGAUGAUGUUAGCAGGUGUUGCGUUGAAGCUAAAAUAAAAAUAAAGUUUUCUGUUGAUAGUGUCAGUGCCUAUAUUGAUUGCUCUUUUAGUCGAAUUUUACAGGUCAAUCAGUAUUCAGGAGGUUGACUUGACCUCUGUGUGUUCCAACGAAACCACAGGCUAGGCAGCGUAAGGUAUGUUAAACACGUAGCAUAAGUACAGUACAUGUACAUCAAUAUGCAUCAGAA